rnacentral:hammerhead_ribozyme from 1 species
AUCCAGCAGACGAGACCAGAAUAGGACGAAGUGCGCAUCCUGGAU